rnacentral:rRNA from 1 species
GACGAACGCUGGCGGCGCGCCUAACACAUGCAAGUCGAACGAGAGAGAGGAAGCUUGCUUCCUCAAUCGAGUGGCGAACGGGUGAGUAACGCGUGAGGAACCUGCCUCAAAGAGGGGGACAACAGUUGGGAACGACUGCUAAUACCGCAUAAGCCCACGGGUCGGCAUCGACCAGAGGGAAAAGGAGCAAUCCGCUUUGAGAUGGCCUCGCGUCCGAUUAGCUGGUUGGUGAGGUAAUGGCCCACCAAGGCGACGAUCGGUAGCCGGACUGAGAGGUUGAACGGCCACAUUGGGACUGAGACACGGCCCAGACUCCUACGGGAGGCAGCAGUGGGGAAUAUUGCACAAUGGGGGAAACCCUGAUGCAGCGACGCCGCGUGGAGGAAGAAGGUCUUCGGAUUGUAAACUCCUGUUGUUGAGGAAGAUAAUGACGGUACUCAACAAGGAAGUGACGGCUAACUACGUGCCAGCAGCCGCGGUAAAACGUAGGUCACAAGCGUUGUCCGGAAUUACUGGGUGUAAAGGGAGCGCAGGCGGGAAGACAAGUUGGAAGUGAAAUCUAUGGGCUCAACCCAUAAACUGCUUUCAAAACUGUUUUUCUUGAGUAGUGCAGAGGUAGGCGGAAUUCCCGGUGUAGCGGUGGAAUGCGUAGAUAUCGGGAGGAACACCAGUGGCGAAGGCGGCCUACUGGGCACCAACUGACGCUGAGGCUCGAAAGUGUGGGUAGCAAACAAAAGGAGAUUCCCUGGUAGUCCCCCCCCGUAANCGCCUCCUAAAAGGGUGUUGGAGGAUUGACCCCCUCAGCGCGGCAGUUAACACAAUAAGUAAUCCCCCUGGGGGGUGGGGCCGCAAAGGUGGAAACUCAAAGAAAUGGCCGGGGGCCCGCCCAACCAGUGGAGAAUGUGGUUUAAUUUGACGCAACGCGAAGAACCUUACCAAGUCUUGACAUCCUGCGACGAUGCUGGAAACAGUAUUUUCUUUCGGGACGCAGAGACAGGUGGUGCAUGGUUGUCGUCAGCUCGUGUCGUGAGAUGUUGGGUUAAGUCCCGCAACGAGCGCAACCCUUACUGUCAGUUACUACGCAAGAGGACUCUGGCAGGACUGCCGUUGACAAAACGGAGGAAGGUGGGGAUGACGUCAAAUCAUCAUGCCCUCUAUGACUUGGGCUACACACGUACUACAAUGGUGUUAAACAAAGAGAAGCAAGACCGCGAGGUGGAGCAAAACUCAGAAACAACGUCCCAGUUCGGACUGCAGGCUGCAACUCGCCUGCACGAAGUCGGAAUUGCUAGUAAUCGUGGAUCAGCAUGCCACGGUGAAUACAAGGCCGGGCCUUGCACA